UACGUAGGGGGCGAGCGUUGUCCGAAGUUACUGGGCGUAAAGCGCGCGUAGGCGGUUAUUCAAGUCUGGGGUGAAAGGUCAGCGCUCAACGUGAACAGUGCCUUGGAUACUGGAUGACUUGAGUCUGGGAGGGGGAAGGGGAAUUCCUGGUGUAGCGGUGAAAUGCGUAGAUAUCAGGAGGAACACCGGUGGCGAAGGCGCCUUCCUGGCCUAAGACUGACGCUGAGGUGCGAAAGCGUGGGGAGCAAACGGG
rnacentral:misc_RNA from 1 species